UAUUCAUGUGUUUAAACGGUAAAAAAAAAUUCGUGAAGUUUGUUGAAAAAGUGAACGUGGUGUUGCGAUGAGGGUGGAAGAGGUGGUGAUGAAGGAGAACCCUUCGCUGUGGGAGUGGAAACAUUUGUAGAUACAUUGAAAAGUAGUGAUGUGGCGUGGCAUGGACUGACGUUCGGGCUUUAUGUACACGUACAUGCAUGUAUGUAUGUAUGUAUAAUCGUGUCAUGUUGCUAGGGCUUGCGCAUAUCUGUCCCGCGCUCGUAUUAUUAUUAUCGUGUGCCGGAGGAGAGUUCGCUGAAAAGCGUGUGUUUCAGCCGUUUUCAGCGCAAUAAGUCCAUCCCCCACCGGUCCGGUCCGCCAGAAGAGCAAACAGUAGCCGAGACUUGGAAAGAACAGCGAACGAAAAACGAAAUAGACGCUGAGAACAAGUUGAACGCAUGUGCCUGCCUGACUGUCUGAAGUGGUGACUCCGAGCCCUCAACGAGGAAACACAACUGCAUAACUCGAAGAACAACCGCAAAGUGGCUGCAUCAUCAGAGUCGAGGGUAUCUCCGGAGAUGGCAGGGAAUCAAGUGACGAACGGUCACAGGACCGAGGACUUCGCCAAACACGUGUUUGGAGCCGGAGAAGAGCAUGGUAAGUUUUAUGUAGAAAUAACACAAAGCACUUAGAAUUAGCAAAAACGC